GCCAGGUGUGGUGGCGCGUGCCGGCAGUCCCAGCUACUUGGGAGGCUGAGGGCAGGAGGAUCGCUUGAUCCCAUGAGUUCCGCGCUGUAGUGCGCUGUGCCAAUCGGGUGUCUGCACUAAGUUCGGCAUCUGUAUGGUGACCUCCCGGGAGUGGGGGACCACCAGGUUGCCUAAGAAGGGGUGGAGCGGCUCAGGUCGGAAACGGAGCAGGUCAAAACUCCUGUGAUCAGAGGAAUUGGUUGUGUACCACUUGGAGCAUCAUUGGCUGCAAGUGUGAGGACUUUUGACUUAAGCCCUCUA
ensembl:misc_RNA Metazoa_SRP Metazoan signal recognition particle RNA